rnacentral:rRNA from 1 species
UACGUAGGGUGCGAGCGUUGUCCGGAAUUACUGGGCGUAAGAGCUCGUAGGCGGUUUGUCGCGCCGUCCGUGAAAACUUGGGGCUCAACCCAAGCUUGCGGGCGAUACGGGCAGACUUGAGUACUGCAGGGGAGACUGGAAUUCCUGGUGUAGCGGUGAAAUGCGCAGAUAUCAGGAGGAACACCGGUGGCGAAGGCGGGGUCUCUGGGCAGUAACUGACGCUGAGGAGCGAAAGCGUGGGUAGCGAACAGG